GGGGAAAGAUCAAAUGAACAGAGGAAUCUUCAGAUGCAGAGAAGAGUGUAGCAGUAGUUGGAGUACGGAAAAGCGAUCAAGAACCAACGGACCAUCUGAACUAUGGGCACAGUCACCAAAAAUUGAGACGCCUGGAUGGGGGCUGGGCACCGAAUCCUCGGCUCCAGAGGUCCUCUGUCUCUUUUCUCUGCAUUCCAGCCUUUGUCACCCCAGUUGAGUCCAUAACAUGGAGGUGUGCUCAUCAUCAGCAUCGGAAGCUGUCCCCCCAAAUGUUUUUCUUAAACGCAUGAACAGGGAGCGUUUUGGUGUCUGGAAGGAAAAGUACAGUCCCUGAGACCAAAUCCAUCAUGUUUUUGUCAUGUGAGGACGCAUGGGAAAAAGGACCCUGUGUAAAUCAGAAACAAAGAAGACAAAACAAGGAGAGGCGGCAGACAAGGUGAUGGAGAAGGGGCCUGGAGUGCACACGGGUAGCUGCAGAGGACCAAGGAACAGGAGGAAGGCUGCCCUCCCCAGGCUUGCAAGGAGACACCUCCCCCAGUGUUCACUCCAGGGAAGGGGACGGCCUUCCUCUUAGCCACUCAAGCAGGGGUCCAAGGAAGAACCCAAAGCAUUAACUAUCUAGGGACCAACCUGAGCCAGGAGCUGCAAGACCUCUACACCGAGAGCAAUAAAACAUGACUCAAGGAAGUUGAAGAGGAGUCAAAGAAGGGGAGAGAUAGUCCAUGCUCCUGGCUUGGAAAAAUGAAUAUCCUAAAAAUGGCCAUUCUACGCAAAGCAAUCUACAGAUUCAAUGCCAUCCCCACCUGUGAUAGUUUUCACAGAAGUAGAACAAAACCAUCCAAACAUUUACACGGAACCAAAACAGGCCCAGAAUGGCCAAGGCAAUCCUGAGGAACAAAAACCAGGCAGGAGGCACACCUCUCCCAGACUUUGGUCAAUAUUACAAAGCUACAGUAAGCAAGACAGUGUGGUAAAGGUACCAAAACCGACACACAGACCAUUGGAACAGAAUGCAGAACCCAGAAAUAACCCCCAAACCGACGGUCAAUUAUUCUUCAACUGAGGGGGCAAGAAUGUAAAAUGGGGAAAAGACAGUCUGUUCAGCGAGUGGUGCUGGGAAGCUGGACAGCCACAUGAAAAUCCAUGAAACUGGAAAACACCCUCAAACCGUGCACAAAGAGAAACUCAAAACGGCUUAAAGACUGAAACGUAAGACAAGACACCAUCAAACUCCUGGAGGAGAAUGUCCGCAAAACAUUCUCUGACAUCAAAGCAUUUCUGUAGGUCACACUGAGUGCAAGGAAAAAGAAACCAAAGCAAAACUAAACAAAUGAGUCCUAAUCAAGCCCAUAAGCCCUUGCACAGCAAAGGAACUCAUAAAAACUAACACAGCCUAUGGAAUGGGAGAAAAUAGUUUCAAGUGAUGCAACUGACAUCAGCCUAACAUCUAAAACACACACACACACACACACACACACACACACACACACAAAUCAAGACACUUCCAACACAACAGCAAAAACAAACAACCCAUUUGAAAAAUGGGCAAGAGAACUGAACAGACAGUUACCCAAGGAAGAUAGACAGCCAGCCAACAGGCACAUCAAAACAUGCUCAACAUCAUGAAUGAUUAGAACAAGGCAUAUCAAGGCUACGAAGAAGGACCACCUCACACCUGUCAGAAUGGCCAUCAUUAGUAAGUCUAGAAAUAACAAAUGCUGGAGAGGGUGUGGAGAAGAGGGAACCCUCCCUCCUACCCUGUUGGUAGGAAUGUAGCUUGGUACAACCGCUAUGGAAAACACCAUGCAGGUACCUUGGAAAACUAAAUGUAGAACUAGCAUGUGACCCAGCAAUCCCACUCUUGGGCGAAUAUGGGGACAAGACUUGCCUUGAACAAGAUACAUGCACCCAUGGAUGUUUACAUACAGUGCUGAAUGUCCAUUGCAGCACUCCUCACACUAGCCAAGACAUGGAAACAACCUAAAUGUCCAUCGACAGGUGAAUGGGUUAGGAGGAGGUGGGAUAGAUACACAAUGGGAUACUCCUCAGCCAUAAAAGGAAGGAAUAGUGCCAUUUGCACCAAAGUGGGUGGAACUAGAGACGCUCACACUAAGCAAAGUCCCUCAGAAAGAGAAACACCAAUCCCGUACGAUAGCACUUAUACCUGGACUCUAAUACACAGCACAAAUGAUCCUUUCCACGGAAUAGAAACUCAAGGACUUGGAGAAGGGACUUGUGCUUGCCAACAGGGACAGGGAGGGAGUGGGAUGGACUGGGCCUCUGGGCUUAAGGGAUGCAAACCAUUGCAUCUGGACUGGAUAAGCAAUGAGAGCCCACUGGAUUGCACAGGGAACAAUAUCCAGUCACUCACGAAGGAACGUGAUAGAGGAUAAUGGGAGAAAAUGUAUGCAUGCCUGUGUGUAUGUGCACGUGCACACGCACGUGUGUGCACCUGUGCGUGACAGGAUCACUUUCCUGCACCGUAGAAAUUAACAGAAAAAUUUAAACCUAGUAUAAUGGAAAAAAUAAAAAAUCAUUUAAAAAGUUA
rnacentral:lncRNA from 9 species